rnacentral:rRNA from 1 species
AGCAGUAGCCGCGGGAAUACGAAGGGGGCUAGCGUUGUUCGGAAUCACUGGGCGUAAAGCGCACGUAGGCGGACUUUUAAGUCAGGGGUGAAAUCCCAAGGCUCAACCUUGGAACUGCCUUUGAUACUGGAAGUCUUGAGUUCGGGAGAGGUGAGUGGAACUGCGAGUGUAGAGGUGAAAUUCGUAGAUAUUCGCAAGAACACCAGUGGCGAAGGCGGCUCACUGGCCCGAUACUGACGCUGAGGUGCGAAAGCGUGGGGAGCAAACAGGAUUAGAUACCCCAGUAGUCCCUGUCUCUUAUAC